UUGUUAGCAAACAGUGUUGAAAUGCCGAAGGAGGUGAGCAAGCGAGCGAGGAGCCCGUAAGCGGCGUGCAAAGCAGGCAAGUUGUGGUGCUGAGUGAAAGGCGUUAAAGUGAUAAGACAAAUCAAAAGCAUAUAUCUAGGCAUGUAUGCGGACGUGCUACAGUCACUUCUUUGUGUGGUGAGAUGUGCAAACUCAGCAAAACAAGCAGAACAAAAAAUACCACAAAAGUAGCAACAACAAGAAAUUAAAAACAGUGACGUUUAGUUUUAUUGCAUGUAAAACCGUUAAGAGUGGAAAAAUAGAGAUUUUAAAGAAAACUAUUGUAUGGUAAAAAAGGAAUUUUAGAGAAACGCGGCGGCGAAGGAGGAGAGCAAGGACCUGUAAAUAUAUAAACAAGUAUGUUCUUGUUGGACAAUAAUAAGUGGUGCCGGCAAAUACUGCAUGUAAAUAUGUCUAGUAUAUAAAUAUUUGUAAAGAUAAAGUACUGGAGCGAGUCUUUCGAAAGCCUUGGAGCUUUCAUUAGAAUAAAACGUGCCUCCACAUUCCAUAAAAUCAUGUAUGAUAUAUUCAUAUUACUAUAUGUAUUUGUAUAUUUAAAGUAUAAUUUAUCACGUGACUUUUAUAACUGUAUAAUUUUAAACUGUUAUAAUAAAUUAAUAUUUUUUAUAUUUUUAUAAUGUUUAUAGA